rnacentral:rRNA from 1 species
UUUCCCUCAGGAUAGCUGGAGCCCAUUACGAGUUCUAUCAGGUAAAGCCAAUGAUUAGAGGCAUUGGGGACGCAACGUCCUCGACCUAUUCUCAAACUUUAAAUAGGUAGGAUGGUGCGGCUGCUUCGGUGAGCCGUGCCACGGAAUCGGGUGCUCCAAGUGGGCCAUUUUUGGUAAGCAGAACUGGCGAUGCGGGAUGAACCG